UGGGGAAUAUUGCACAAUGGGCGCAAGCCUGAUGCAGCCAUGCCGCGUGUAUGAAGAAGGCCUUCGGGUUGUAAAGUACUUUCAGCGGGGAGGAAGGCGAUAAGGUUAAUAACCUUGUCGAUUGACGUUACCCGCAGAAGAAGCACCGGCUAACUCCGUGCCAGCAGCCGAGGUAAUACGGAGGGUGCAAGCGUUAAUCGGAAUUACUGGGCGUAAAGCGCACGCAGGCGGUCUGUCAAGUCGGAUGUGAAAUCCCCGGGCUCAACCUGGGAACUGCAUUCGAAACUGGCAGGCUAGAGUCUUGUAGAGGGGGGUAGAAUUCCAGGUGUAGCGGUGAAAUGCGUAGAGAUCUGGAGGAAUACCGGUGGCGAAGGCGGCCCCCUGGACAAAGACUGACGCUCAGGUGCGAAAGCGUGGGGAGCAAACA
rnacentral:rRNA from 1 species